UUAUUUCUUGUUUUUUUCCCGACAUUUUUCAUCUCUCUCUCGAGACCCUUGCAGACAACAAUGAGAAGAUGCGAAAUCUCUUCGAUUCCGGUGGAGAUAUUGGUGAAACUUCAGACUCGAAAUCGAAGAAUCCGGUUCGAUUAAGGACGCCCAUGCGAUUAUAUGGAACGACGUCAGAAAGGGUGUAGGAAGAGCUUAUAAAUGAAAGCAGCAAGUAGUCUCAUGUAGAUAGUAAUGCGGAUAUUACUCUUUUGUGUGCACCAGUCAGUGAAAGGUUAGUGUCUAGAAACCAACGGGAGUCGAUCUGAAUUCAAUGCAAACGGACACAAUAAUGCUUGGACUGUCUCAUCAAGAAGCAACAGAUUCUCCAUACAUUGCAUCAAUGGGAGUUAAUUGUUUCACAACCGAAGCUUUGUUGAGCCUUCUAACAAGACAGUAUCCUAGUUCCAAUGACUUUGGAUCUGAAGUUAUUCCUGCAGCCAUAGGAAGCUGAUUAUCUCUCUUUUGUUGUCUUAUAGCAAUUGGACAGAAGCUUUGUAUGAGUUUGGUUUUAUGGUUGCUUGUUUAAGAAGAUAGUGUUUUACAACAAUUUGAAUUUUUUUUCUUAAGAUACUCUCUAUUCUAUAUGUUAAGAUACUA